rnacentral:rRNA from 1 species
AACGAACGCUGGCGGCAUGCCUAACACAUGCAAGUCGAACGAGACCUUCGAGUCUAGUGGCGCACGGGUGCGUAACGCGUGGGAACCUGCCCUUAGGUUCGGAAUAACUCCCCGAAAGGGGUGCUAAUACCGGAUAAUGUCUUCGGUCCAAAGAUUUAUCGCCUUUGGAUGGGCCCGCGUUGGAUUAGCUAGUUGGUAGGGUAAAAGCCUACCAAGGCGACGAUCCAUAGCUGGUCUGAGAGGAUGAUCAGCCACACUGGGACUGAGACACGGCCCAGACUCCUACGGGAGGCAGCAGUGGGGAAUAUUGGACAAUGGGCGAAAGCCUGAUCCAGCAAUGCCGCGUGAGUGAUGAAGGCCUUAGGGUUGUAAAGCUCUUUUACCCGGGAUGAUAAUGACAGUACCGGGAGAAUAAGCGCCGGCUAACUCCGUG